UACGGAGGGAGCUAGCGUUGUUCGGAUUCAUUGGGCGUAAAGGGUGCGUAGGCGGCGCGGUAAGUCGGGUGUGAAAUCUUGGAGCUUAACUCCGAAACUGCAUUCGAUACUGCCGUGCUUGAGGACUGGAGAGGAGACUGGAAUUUACGGUGUAGCGGUGAAAUGCGUAGAUAUCGUAAGGAAGACCAGUGGCGAAGGCGGGUCUCUGGACAGUUCCUGACGCUGAGGCACGAAGGCCAGGGGAGCAAACGGG
rnacentral:rRNA from 1 species